rnacentral:rRNA from 1 species
CAACAGGGAUUGCCUCAGUAACGGCGAGUGAAGCGGCAAGUGCUCAAAUUUUAAAUCUGGCGUCUACGACGUCCCGAGUUGUAAUUUGGAGAGGCAUCUUCGGGGGACAGCGUCAGACUAUGUUCCUUGGAACAGGACGUCACAGAGGGUGAGAAUCCCGUGUCUGCCUGGCUGUCUGAUCCCUUGUGAAGUGCCUUCUACGAGUCGAGUUGUUUGGGAAUGCAGCUCCAAGUGGGUGGUAAAUUUCAUCUAAAGCUAAAUAUGGGCGAGAGACCGAUAGCGCACAAGUAGAGUGAUCGAAAGAUGAAAAGCACUUUGAAAAUAGAGUUAAAAAGUACGUGAAAUUGUUGAAAGGGAAGCGCUUGAGACCAGACUCAGCCCCUAGCAAACAGCCUUCCCUACUCCAGGGAGGUCCACUUUCAUUGGGGCUGGGCCAGCGUCGGUUAGUGUGGUGGGACAAAGGCGUAGGAAAUGUGGCUCCUCUCGAGGAGUGUUAUAGUCCUGCGUGCAAUGCCACCUAUGCUGACUGAGGGCCGCGCCUCGGCGAGGAUGCUGGCACAAU